rnacentral:rRNA from 1 species
AGUGAACGCUGGCGGUAGGCCUAACACAUGCAAGUCGAACGGCAGCACAGUAAGAGCUUGCUCUUACGGGUGGCGAGUGGCGGACGGGUGAGGAAUACAUCGGAAUCUACUUUUUCGUGGGGGAUAACGUAGGGAAACUUACGCUAAUACCGCAUACGACCUACGGGUGAAAGCAGGGGAUCUUCGGACCUUGCGCGAUUGAAUGAGCCGAUGUCGGAUUAGCUAGUUGGCGGGGUAAAGGCCCACCAAGGCGACGAUCCGUAGCUGGUCUGAGAGGAUGAUCAGCGGGAGUGGAGGGGAGGGGGGGUCGAGGGGGGUGGGGGGGGCGGGAGUGGGGGGUGGGGGAGGAGGGGGGGGAGGGUGGUGGAGCGGUGCCGGGUGGGUGAAGAAGGCCUUCGGGUUGUAAAGCCCUUUUGUUGGGAAAGAAAAGCAGCAGGUUAAUACCCCGCUGUUCUGACGGUACCCAAAGAAUAAGCACCGGCUAACUUCGUG